rnacentral:rRNA from 1 species
AUGGCUUCAUCCGCCGCUGCUUCCUCCCCUCUCUCCGGCCAGAUCACCGAGCGCCUCACCUGCACCAACUACGUCUUAUGGUGCACCCAGAUCACGCCACAGCUGAGAGGGGCUGGAGUCUUCGGAUACGUUGAUGGAAGCACGGCGGAGCCGGCCGAGUUCGUCGUCAGCAAGGACAAGGAUGGAAAGGAGGAAGCCAUCCCCAAUCCCCUCCAUGCCGUCUGGUUUAGAGAGGACCAGCAGGUACUUGGGUAUCUUCUCAAUAAUCUGUCAAAAGAAGUGCUAGUGCAGGUGACCUCCAUCGCGCAUGCACGAGAGCUCUGGACAGCGUUGGCGAGCAUGUUCUCGUCGACGUCGCUGUCCCGCGUCAACAACAUCCGAGCUGCCCUCACAAACGCGCAGAAGGGGAUGCAAUCGGUGGCUACCUUCUUCGCAUACAUGCGGGGACUCGCCGACGAGCUCGCCGCGGCUGGCAAGCCGUUGAAGGAUGAUGAGCUCAUCUCGUAUACCCUCAACGCGCUUGACAUGGAGUACCAGCCGUUGGUUUCCGCCCUCGAUGCCAGGACCACUCCGGUCACCCUCGACGAAUUGUUCGGACAGAUGAGCAAUUUUGAUCAGAUGGUGGCUCUCUUCCAAGGCGCGGGAGGUGGCUUCAAGUCAUCUGCCAAUGCUGCCACCCGCGGCCGCGGUGGGGGCUCUCAUUACCGUGGUCCACCGCGGAACGGAAAGGGCAAGGGCACCCACAACAGCAACAGCAGCGGCGCCAACAACAUGCGUGGCGGCCGAUCUUCCUCCUCCAACAACAGAGGCCGCCGCAACAGCAGCUCCAACAACAGAUCACGCCCCGACAUCAGGUGCCAAAUCUGUGGCAAGCCGGGUCACUCGGCAAAGGACUGCUGGUAUCGGUUUGAGGAAGAUGAAGAUGACUCAUCUUAG